AGGAUUGUUUGGUGGUACACAUUCAGUAACCUUCAACAAAUCUGGUAGUACAAGUCAGCCUUUUCCAUUUGUUUUAUAAAGAGUGAACAG